CCACGCCCGGCACCCUCGGCAGCGGCAAAGCGGGCUUCGCCAGCGGCGCCGGCACUCGGAUCAUUUGUGUGCAAGAAACAAGAAGAAAAUACAAUUCUCCAGGACAAUAAGAACUACCUAUGCUUCAAAAUGGAAGUGAGGAAGAAGAGUCCCCAAAAGUAUUAAUUUGAAUAAAAAUUAUUGUUCUUAAGUAAGUACUUCUUGU
rnacentral:lncRNA from 1 species